GACAAAGUAGAACGCCACCUUAAAUUCACUUGCAGACUAAAGUCAGCGUGGAAUUAUCCGAGCCCCACGUCAAUUCUAUCUAGGUGCGAUCUUAUUCCCUUGAAAUGACACCAGCAGCGUCUUAAUCCUUUUGCCAGGACAUGCCAGCCGAGUCCCGAGGACAAUGCCCGGCCACGCGUUUUAAUUAAAUUCUUUUGUCGCAUACAGGCGGCGGGCAUGCAAAAAUCCAACACUCGAACGGGGGCAAAGGGAACGGAAAACGAGAAAAGCGAAAGGAAAGCGCCAGAGUCAGUGGCAGCUGGCUGGGAAAGCGGAAAAUUAAUAAAAAUGCAGAGGAGGAAGCUCGCUCCAGCGAACGCCGAAAUGGGCAGCCAAUCAUAUGUGGGCGUGGCGCCAGCAGAAUGUAAUAAAUGCGCAACUGCGCAUUGUUAGAUGAAUCCUGUGACCCCUACUACGGCAUUGAUUGCAAUCCAUUCAGGCCCAGACAAGCUCUCUCCUCUCACUGAAUCCUCAGCUGAAUCCUCAGCUGCUGUUCAAUUUGCCGUAUUCUAAUUGAGGGCGUCUGCAAAUACAAACACCAGACCACAAGUAACACACAUGCCUAUUGACUUUCGAGGCCGCAGCAUUUGAUGAUGUGGCGACAAUAUUUGAUUGCUUAAUAUUGAAUUAAUUUACCAUAUUUUGCGGCCAUGCGGCGACAUGUGCGUGCUGAGGAGGUUAUCCCCAAACCAACGCCAGCCGCACAAACACUCUGCCAAUUGCAGCCAUUUAAAAUGCAAUUACAAUAUGUGAGAAUGGACUAUGAUGGACUGGGAAACUGGGCAGCAGAUUUCCCUUUUGCCUAACACACAUAUCUCUCCUCACUUUGCCUUUCGUUCCACUCGACGGCUUUCUUAUGCCAAGGGCAAGCAAAAUUUUAUGGGUAAUAACAAGUGAGUUUCGAAACGCAUUGACCUGUCCCAAAAGAUGAGGAAGUGGGGCGGAAAGAGUCUGAAAAUAAGGUAAAAGUUCGCAGAGCAGAGCAGCAAGUUUUCCAUACCCUAACCAAGGAGGUUAUCUCAGAUCCAGGAAAUGUUUUGAGUAACCAAACAAGUAAUCAUAAAUUAAAGAAAAGCAUUCUUACUUCUUAAUCUAGAAGGGUAUCAGUUCUAGGGCUUUUUAAAUCACAUGGUAACAUAUCAGUUGUAAAAUGUGAAUAUAUUAUUUCCAAACUUUUUAAGUUCAUAGGGUAAGUGCUGAAAUCAUAUCUUCGAAUCACCGAGAAUAGAUGGCCUGAAAGUAUGCCAUUCGAAUUUUGUCUUCAACAACAUUCAGCUGAAGAAGUGAAGCGUGCAACAAAUUCCCGUGGACAAUGGACAUCUUUCGCAUUAGGCACACAGAGCCAAAUUGAAGUCAGUAAACUGGCAUUAAAGAGGGGAGAAAUCGGAGAAGCAGUCCCCACUUUCUCCAGGGGAACAACAAUAAUAACUUCGGACUGUGUACACAUCUCUUUUUCGUGGAACUCCCGAGCCCGGACCCAAAUUGUUUGACUAUGAGUCCGAUGUGAAGUGCUGGGUAAAUAUUUUAGGCUGGACAGUAGUGACUGGACAGAACGUGUGCCGUGUUAAAGUUGCAGCUUUUUGCGUUGGCUGUGCUGGCUGGGAAAAUAGCAGCACAUAACUGCAAAUGAAAUUUCGUAGAUUUCGCUCGAAAGUAAAUGAAGAAAAAUGUGCACAGACGAAUGAAUUGGCGAGCGUGAAGUGUAUGGAGAAAAUUGCGAAACACUUUGGCUGGCAAGUAGAAAAUAUUUUCAUUGUUGCUGACACCUCGGCGAACGCGAAGGAUGCAAGAUGGAGCGGCACCAAGGCGGAGCAACUUUUUAAUUAAGAAAUCUUGCGGAAAUUGCUUAAAUAUUUCAACUGCACUUGCAACUGUUUGUGGCCUAAUUGAGACGAGAUGGUGAUGGAAGAUGGAAGCUGGAAGAUGGGGAUGCAAACAUCUUAAAUGGCGGCCAACCCGUUUGAGAACAUUUAUUUAUGGCAAUAAAGUGC
ensembl:ncRNA lncRNA:CR44535 long non-coding RNA:CR44535